rnacentral:rRNA from 1 species
CGUGUAGGCGGCACGGUAAGUCAGAUGUGAAAGCCCUCGGCUCAACCGAGGAAGUGCAUUUGAAACUGCCGAGCUAGAGUACGGGAGAGGGUUGUAGAAUUCCAGGUGUAGAGGUGAAAUUCGUAGAUAUCUGGAGGAAUACCGGUGGCGAAGGCGGCGACCUGGACCGAUACUGACGCUGAGACGCGAAAGCGUGGGGAGCAAACAGGAUUAGAUACCCUGGUAGUCC